UGAAGAUAUAGUCUUAUCUUUAUCGUAAGAUAA
rnacentral:autocatalytically_spliced_intron from 1 species